GACGAAGGAUGCAAGCGUUAUCCGGAAUUAUUGGGCGCAAAGGGUACGUAGGCGGCUUGUCAAGUCCUGGGUUAAAUCCCGCAGCUUAACUGCGGAUCGGCCUUGGAAACUGGCUUGCUGGAGUGUGGUAGGGGUAGCGGGAAUUCCUGGUGUAGCGGUGAAAUGCGUAGAGAUCAGGAGGAACACCUGUGGCGAAGGCGCGCUACUGGACCAUGACUGACGCUGAGGUACGAAAGCUCGAGGAGCAAAAGGG
rnacentral:rRNA from 1 species